rnacentral:rRNA from 1 species
CCUACGGUAGGCAGCAGUCGAGAAUCAUUCACAAUGGGGGAAACCCUGCUGGUGCGACGCCGCGUGGGGGAAUGAAGGUCUUCGGGUUGUAAACCCCUGUCAUGUGGGAGCAAAUUAAAAAGAUAGUACCACAAGAGGAAGAGACGGCUAACUCUGUGCCAGCAGCCGCGGUAAUACAGAGGUCUCAAGCGUUGUUGGGAUUCACUGGGCGUAAAGCGUGCGUAGGCUGUUUCGUAAGUCGUGGGUGAAAGGCGCGGGCGCAACCCGCGGACGGCACAUGAUACUGCGAGACUAGAGGAAUGGAGGGGGAACCGGAAUUCGCGGUGUAGGAGUGAAAUGCGUAGAUAUCGAGAGGAA